rnacentral:rRNA from 1 species
GAUGAACGCUGGCGGCGUGCCUAAUACAUGCAAGUCGAGCGAACAGAUAAGGAGCUUGCUCCUUGGACGUUAGCGGCGGACGGAUGAGUAACAUGGGGAUAACCUACCUAUAAGACUGGUAUAACUCCGGGAAACCGGGUCUAAUGCCGGAUAACAUGUAGAACCACAUGGUUCUAAAGUAAAAGAUGGUUUUGCUAUCACUUAUAGAUGGUCCCGCGCCGUAUUAGCUAGUUGGUAAGGUAACGGCUUACCAAGGCAACGAUACGUAGCCGACCUGAGAGGGUGAUCGGCCACACUGGACUUGAGCCCCGGUCCAGCCUCCUACGGGAGGAAGCAGUAGGGAAUCUUCGGAAAUGGGCGAAAGCUUGACGGAGAAACGCCGCGUGAGUGAUGAAGGUCUUCGGAUCGUAAGCCUCUGUUAUUAGGGAAGAACAAAUGUGUAAGUAACUGUGCACGCCUUGACGGUACCUAAUCAGAAAGCGACGGCUAACUACGUG